UUUUGAACUAGAUUGAUAUUACCAGGUUAGUAGUAGUUAUGUGCUUGAAAAUUAAAGAAGAUGGCGGUAUUUUAGUCUAUUCAGAGGAACCUGUCCUAUAAUCGAUGAUCCACGAUUUAUUAUACUUAUUUUAUAAGUUUGCAUAUCGCCGUAGAUUGAAUGUCCUUGAAGGGAUUUAAACAUUCAAGAGGUUUUUAUUUGUGAAAUUAAAUCAGGUCAAGAUGUAGCUAAUAAAUAAGAAGAGAUGGGUUACAAUAAAUUUAUUUAUAACGGAUUAAUAUAUGAAAUUUAUUAUAAAGGUGGAUUUGAGGGUAAUUUUAUA
rnacentral:rRNA from 1 species